GUGGAAGAAGGAGUGUUGCCCUAUCCCAUCUUUGCAGCCAUUGAUGAUGACCUUCAGGAUGAUUGGAGGGAGAAAAAAGUUCAAAAUUCCUGGUUUGAAUUCACUCCUCAUCAUGCUGGAUAUCCUGCACUUAGGGCUUAUGUCCCCAUCACAGAGUUUGGAAGCAGAUUUGAAAAUGGAAAACUGGUUAGACCUGAGCCUGAGAGAGACUUGACUUUCUUGAGAGGUUUAUGGGGAAGUGCCCUUGCUGAUAUUAAAGAAGAUAAGGCAUUUAUUAUGGACUAUUUCAAGGACAUGCAUGAAAA
rnacentral:lncRNA from 1 species